rnacentral:tRNA from 1 species
GCCCUCGUAGCUCAGUUGGUAGAGCGCAUCCUUGGUAAGGAUGAGGUCUCCGGUUCGAAUCCGGUCGAGGGCUCCA